rnacentral:rRNA from 1 species
AACGUUAGCGGUGUGGAUUAGGCAUGCAAGUCGUGCGUGAAAGCCUUCGGGUGAGUAAAGCGGCGUAAGGGUGAGUAACACGUAACCAACCUGCCCCUCUGAUCGGGAUAACCACUGGAAACGGUGGCUAAUACCGGAUGGUCCCCGCAGGAGGCAUCUCCUGUUGGGUAAACGGCCGCUUUAGCGGUUGUGGAGGGAAGGGGUUGCGGCCUAUCAGCUUGUUGGUGAGGUAAUGGCUCACCAAGGCUAUAACGGGUAGCCGGUCUGAGAGGACGAUCGGCCACACUGGGACUGAGACACUGCCCAGACUCCUACGGGAGGCUGCAGUCGAGAAUCUUCCGCAAUGGGCGAAAGCCUGACGGAGCGACACCGCGUGCAGGAUGAAGGCUCUAGGGUUGUAAACUGCUGUCACAUACUAGGAAUGCUGUGCAGUUAAUAACUGUACGGUUGACUAACGUGAAAGGAAGCACCGGCUAACUCCGUGCCAGCAGCCGCGGUAAUACGGAGGGUGCAAACGUUGUUCGGAAUUAUUGGGCAUAAAGAGCACGUAGGCGGUGCGGUAAGUCAGAUGUGAAAGCCCUCGGCUCAACCGAGGAAGUGCAUCUGAAACUGCCACACUAGAGAACGGUUGGGGUGAGUGGAACUCCUGGUGGAGCGGUGAAAUGCGUAGAUAUCAGGAGGAACACCGGUGGCGAAAGCGGCUCACUGGACCGUUACUGACGCUGAGGUGCGAAAGCUAGGGGAGCGAACGGGAUUAGAUACCCCGGUAGUCCUAGCCGUAAACGAUGGGUACUAGGUAAGGGGAAUGCCUAUGGUCUUCCUUACCGGAGCAAAUGUGUUAAGUACCCCGCCUGGGGAGUACGCUCGCAAGGGUAAAACUCAAAGGAAUUGACGGAGGAUCACACAAGCGGUGGAGCAUGUGGUUUAAUUCGAAGCAACGCGAAGAACCUUACCUGGCCUUGACAUGCACGGAUUAGCUCUGUGAAAGCAGAGUAACGGCCCUUCGGGGUUGGAACGUGCACAGGUGUUGCAUGGCUGUCGUCAGCUCGUGUCGUGAGAUGUUGGGUUAAGUCCCGUAACGUGCGAAACCCUUAUUGCUAGUUGCCAGCGGGUAAUGCCGGGGACUCUAGCGAGACUGCCGUUGUUAAAACGGAGGAAGGUGGGGACGACGUCAAGUCAUCAUGGCCCUUAUGGCCAGGGCGACACACGUGCUACAAUGGUCUGUACAAAGGGUUCCCAAGCCGUGAGGCGGAGGCAAUCCCAUCAAAGCAGACCCCAGUUCGGAUUGCAGGCUGAAAUUCGCCUGCAUGAAGUUGGAAUCGCUAGUAAUCGCGUAUCAGCCAUGACGCGGUGAAUAUGUUCCUGAUCCUUGUACACACCGCCCGUCAAGCCACGAAAGCGGGGGGCGCUCGAAGUCGCUUUGUCCAACCUUCGGGAGGACGGCGCCGAAAGCGAAUUCCGUGAUUGGGACUAAGUC